GACCCCUCAGGAUUGCACCUGGAGAGUUUCCAGUACUCUACCAGUCUCACCUAUGGGAGGGAGGGUCGAGCAGAAGCAUACCCAUUCCAUUCCUAGCUUGGGCAGUGGUUAUCCAAUGGAAGGCAAUCUGCUACAAGU